rnacentral:rRNA from 1 species
UACGAAGGGGGCUAGCGUUGCUCGGAAUCACUGGGCGUAAAGGGCGCGUAGGCGGGCUCGCCAGUCCGGGGUGAAAUCUUUCGGCUUAACCGGAAAAGUGCCUCGGAUACUGCGAGCCUUGAGGGAGGUAGGGGCAUGUGGAACUUCCGGUGGAGCGGUGAAAUGCGUUGAUAUCGGAAGGAACGCCGGUGGCGAAAGCGACGUGCUGGCCCUCUUCUGACGCUGAGGCGCGAAAGCCAGGGGAGCAAACGGG